AGUAAUGACCAGACACAUCACACCCGCCUUCUAGAAGCCCUCCCUCACAAACCGGAUCAACUGCUAUGAUAAAGGAUUAGGCAGUGGAACAGUCCUUGUGAUCCUGAAGUUAGCAACGCCCUAGCCUCCUUCUUUCAACACCAGCUCUCACUUCUUGUCUUAGAUUGCUUUGCACCUUCCUGUCCCUUAAUUGAUGUCAGGACCUGAAUAUAUUUGAUAGUGAUUUGAAGCACUGAUGCUACAAAUGAAAGAGAUUGAUGCUGGGCCCUGGGACCAGGACAUGUGACAGAGCCAGAGUCCUUCAGGGCUGAUGGGCAUGUGCUAGGACUGACACAGGCUAGCAUCUCCCGAGAAGACGUAAGGACAAGCAACUCCAAAUGGGGAUGACAUUGAUGACUCUUCCACCUCUCCUGGAUGGCAAUGUGCCAACUAGAAAAGCCACACUUGACCGGGCAUGGUGGCUCAAGCCUGUAAUCCCAGCACUUUGGGAGGCCAAGCUAAGAGGCAACAUACAUGGCUGGACAGUGAGAUUGUGUUAAUGUGGAUUAUUCCUCCACAAAUAUGCAUUCUUCUCCUCUCCAUUGUGAAUAGAGUUUUGGUUUCCUUCUUUUCAUGAUUCACCAUUAGAAGAACCCACCCAGGUAAUCACUGCUUGCUCGGAUCCCAGCAAAUUCUAGAUCCCAGAACUAGUGCUCUUAGAGCC
ensembl:lncRNA novel transcript, antisense to GALNT12